UUCACAAUGCUUUUGUUUACGUGUAGGUACCCUCAUUAUGCUACCGUGGAAGUGUGGUGCUAUUUUGAGCCUAGUUAGUGGGAUGAAAUAGUGAUUUACCCUAUGCCCUACCACCGAAAGAUUGCAUUAGCA